rnacentral:misc_RNA from 1 species
GCAAACUUGGUCAUUUAGAGGAAGUAAAAGUCGUAACAAGGUUUCCGUAGGUGAACCUGCGGAAGGAUCAUUACUGAGGUACGCCUGGCGGCUGAGGCCGCCGGUUACCCGCCCUUGUGUCAAACGCACGGGCCCCGCGAGCGUAAGAUCUCGCGGGGCGCGAGAUCAGAUUUCGGCUGAGGUGUUGCGCGUUCUUUGCGUCAGCGCGGAGCGCGCGACCGCGGCCGGUCGUAUUUCACACUCUUUCGAGAAGCUAUGAAGUCUGAAUGCGAGAAAGCAAAAUCAAAGCAAAACUUUCAACAACGGAUCUCUUGGCUCUGGCAUCGAUGAAGAACGCAGC